AUGGGAAAGGCGGCCGGGGGGCAGCGGGAGCAGCCGCCGGGGGCGGCGGCGGAGGUAGAAGGAGAAGGAAGAAGAAGAGGAAGAAGCUGUAGCAGCUGCCGCAGGUCCGUGCGGCCGCAAUGCGUGGCCGCGCUCCUUCUCGGCGCCGCCGUGCUCCUCUCCGCCCUGUUCUGGCUGCCGCCCUUCGCCGGGCGCGACCGCGGCCGCCGAGCAGGGCCGCCGGAUCCCCCAGCGGACGCGCUCGCAGCUGAUAUAGUGGCAAGCUUUAUGCUACAAAAGACGGUUUCCGAGUUGAAUGAAAGUAUACCUAAGCUUGAGUUUGACAUCUAUGAGGAAAUUGGCAUCCCUAACUCUACUGUUGCUGUAAAUUUUCUACAACCAUCAGGUGCAUCAAACUGGACAAAUGUCAUCUUCAGCCAGUCAACACUCCAAUUGACAGAGUCGCUGUUUGGGAACUCAUCAUUCUUCGAGGUGCUUAAGUUCCCUGGAGGAAUAACCAUUAUCCCUCCGCAAGCUGCUUUUCUUGUGCAGAAGCCUUAUGCAUCUUUCAACUUCACUCUGAAUUUCUCAAUCGACAAGGUACAGGAUAAAACAAAUGAGUUAAAAGACCAAAUGAGGGCAGGACUACUUCUCGAUACCAAUGAGAUCCUCUAUAUCAAAUUGACAAAUUUGGAAGGUUCGACGGUUGCUCCUCCAACAGUUGUUCGGUCUUCCAUUAUUCUAGAAGUUGGGAAUCACCAGCCUUCCCCUCCAAGAAUGAAGCAGUUGGCACAAACGAUUGCUAAUUCAUCUUCAGGAAACUUGGGACUAAAUCACACUGUAUUUGGCAAAGUAAAGCAGCUAAGUCUUUCGUCGUAUCUGCGGCAUUCUUUGCACAGCGGGAGUGAUAGUGAUGCACCAAGCCCCGCACCCAUGACUCAUGAAGAUCAUCGCCGUCACCACCACCACCACCAUCAUCAUCACCACCACCACCACCACCACCAUCACCACCACCAUAGCCACCACCGUAGUCAUGAAGUAAUUAGGCAGUUGCCUCCAUCUCCUGCACCUGUACAUCCUCCUGUGGAACAGCCCAAAUAUAGGUCUCCAUCCCCAUCUGGUUAUUCAUAUGGAUACACCAAUAAGCCAAAAAAUAAGGCUCCUGUGGCCCCAGCGGCUGAGCCAGUAGUUAGGAAUCAUCAUUAUGCUUCCCCUCCCACCAUGCCUCAUGCAGUGUCACCAUCUUCUGUCAGUCCAUCACCUUCUGCUCGUCACCCUACAAAUAUUCCCAACAGGCACCAUAGUUCCCCUGCUCCAUCUCCAGCAAAUGUGAAGCCCCCGCUGCAUACAGUGUCUCUCGCUCAUGCACAUCAUCCUGCCCAAGUGCCAGCUGUGGCCCCUGCUCCCAGCACAUCAUUUGCCACCCGAAGGCAUUCCUGUCAAUGGGCACUUGCAAUCCUGUUGUGUUUGCUGGCGGGUCUACCAUGA
rnacentral:rRNA from 1 species